AGUAACGCGUGGAUAUCUGCCUAUUAGUGGGGGACAACUUGGAGAAAUCCAAGCUAAUACCGCAUAAGCUCUACGGAGGAAAGCAGGGGACCUUCGGGCCUUGCGCUGAUAGAUGAGUCCGCGUCUGAUUAGCUAGUUGGUGGGGUAAAGGCCUACCAAGGCGAUGAUCAGUAACUGGUUUGAGAGGAUGAUCAGUCACACUGGAACUGAGACACGGUCCAG
rnacentral:rRNA from 1 species